rnacentral:rRNA from 1 species
CCUACGGGGGGCUGCAGUGGGGAAUAUUGGACAAUGGGCGAAAGCCUGAUCCAGCCAUGCCGCGUGUGUGAAGAAGGCCUUCGGGUUGUAAAGCACUUUCAGUGGGGAAGAAAGCCUUGGGGCUAAUACCCUCGAGGAAGGACAUCACCCACAGAAGAAGCACCGGCUAACUCCGUGCCAGCAGCCGCGGUAAUACGGAGGGUGCGAGCGUUAAUCGGAAUUACUGGGCGUAAAGCGCGCGUAGGCGGUCUGAUAAGCCGGUUGUGAAAGCCCCGGGCUCAACCUGGGAACGGCAUCCGGAACUGUCAGGCUAGAGUGCAGGAGAGGAAGGUAGAAUUCCCGGUGUAGCGGUGAAAUGCGUAGAGAUCGGGAGGAAUACCAGUGGCGAAGGCGGCCUUCUGGACUGACACUGACGCUGAGGUGCGAAAGCGUGGGUAGCAAACAGGAUUAGAUACCCCUGUCGUC